AAACUAAUGUAAAUUAAAAAAAGAAACAACACAGUGAGCAAAUGAGGACAGUUUUCCGCAACACGUGAAUGUGAGUGUGAAUGUUGUCUGUCUAUCUGUGCUGGCCCUGCGAUGAGGUGGCGACUUGUCCAGGGUGUACCCCGGCUUCCGCCCGAAUGCAGCUGAGAUAGGCUCCAGCGCCCCCCACCACCCCGAAAGGGACAAGCGGUAGAAAAUGGAUGGAUGGAUGUUAGCAAUCUACUUACAAUUUGUUACGAGAAGUAACUAUGGUAAACAAUGAUGCAGUGCAACAUCUUAUCCACUAGAUGGCAGUGUAGUCCACAACCACUGUAGUAACUUUUCUUUCAGGUUGGGUGACAUGGAAGAAAUGCGUAUGAUGUGAUCUAGGGUAUGUUUCUCUAAAACCGAGUUUCUGCCAUCUCUUUCUAUCCUUUUUCUGAGAUCAUAUCAGGUGCUGCAGUUUUCUUGAUGUGUAUCCUACCUAAUUGUGAUCAAAAUAUGUGAAUUUGUGCUAACUGCCUGUUGCCAGUGUAACUGCAUGCAUGUAAUAUUCAUUGAGAUAUCUUAGGUGGGCUAUUAAUGAUUGUUGUUUUUACUGUAUACUCCUUGCUGCUGGCAAUCUACAUCUUGACCAUUGAAAACUAAUUUUAAAGCUAAAACUUGCGUAUUUACAACAAUGUGGAUUAAAGUGCUUUGUUCCUGUUCAAAUAAACUAAUACAAUGAAAAUAAUAAUGAAAUGAAACUCUUGAGGACUUAGUGCAAUAACUUUGCCUUCCAUACAGAGAGGAAGCGAAAGCUGUGAUGCAUUUUUGCAUCCAACCUGUCUAAGUGCACGUUACAAGAAGCAAAAGGGUGUUCAAUAUUAUCUUCAGCAUGAAAAGAAAGUGCAAGAAGACAGCAGCUUUAUAGUGCAUGUGCGAUGAAUGAACUGCGGCUAACCCAGAAAUGAACAACCUCAGCUGACGAAACCUGGAACGAUUCUGUUCUGCUUCUUGCACUCAACGCACUCCAAAACUGACGCAUCAGCGCUGCGGCUGCCUAUAAGGAUUUCACACCAGUGACUAGCACAACCUCACUACACCACCUGAGGCUGGAGGACCUGGCUCAGCUUCCAAACUGAGUUGGUGCCUUUGAAGGCCACAAACGAAGGAUUCCUGCUCUGACUCUUCGCUGGAUGAUACUGCAAACCUAAGACAACCUGAAUGAUCUUCUGUCUCCAUACCCACAAAGAAUGUGUCAGACAGAGCGGUCUCCUCCACUGCUCGUACACAUUCGCCUGUCAUUUUCACCUUGGAAAAAACAUUUUUUUGCAAAAUGAUUUUGUCCUUUAAACUUUUUGCAGACUUUUCCAUAGCCCAGACACUCAUUUUCUUCCACAUCUUUUGCAGUUAAAUGCCCCUGAUUUAUUUUGGUAUUUUAUCUUGUUUUGUUUUAUUGUGCACCUUGACACUAUCUUUAUCUUUAACCUUUAUCUAAAGGUUCUGACAUGCUGCAGGGCUAAUUCCUUUGGUAGAGAAGGCCAGUAACGUGGUGGGAGUGGAGCUGGACUCUCUGGCGCUGGUGUCAGAGAGGAGAAGUCUAGCAAAACUCCUAGCCAUUAUGGACAACACCUCCCACCCACUACACUCGGACCUUGCGGAGAGAAUGAGCACGUUCAGUGGAAGGCUCAGACUCCCUAAAUGUAACAGAACGACACAGGAGGUCCUUCUUACCGACAGCCAUCAGACUGUAUAAUGCAUAUGUUCCUUCUUGACUGCACUUAAAUGUAGAAUAUAUGUAUAAUAUUUUUAUAUUAUUCAUAUAUUAUAUAUAUAAUAUAUGUCAUAUAUUAUUUAUUAUUAUUAUUGUUUAUUGUGAGCGAACUGUGGUGCUGAAUUACCCCCAGGGAUCAAUAAAGUACUUUCUAUUCUCUAUUCUAU